GUGAAAACAAUCCUAUGGCUGAAAACUGAAAACGGGCAAUUAAGACCAUUAGAUUGCAAUCUACACUAACUCAGCAAAUCUAACAGUUGAGAUUUUCUCCUCUAUUUUCAUGCUAAAUACAGAGUAUCUAUACUUUCUCUCUCUCCUCCUUCAUUUUCCACGUUCUAUUCUCUUUCCUCAUACUUUCUCUCUCUUACUUUCUCAAUUCUUGUGCAAAAUCCAUACUCACUUUCAAUUACUUCGAUUCUUCAUCAAUUUCUCAGCUCUACAUCUAUUAUCAUGCAGUUGCUCGUGGUGUGGUUCGGGAGUUACUGCAGCUCGGAUUGGUGUUUGGUCAGUGGUGCAGCGGUCGAGAUUUGGUACGUACGUUGGCGAGCUAAUGGUUGCAGCUAGUUGUGCAAUUGAGGUGGAGCUACUUGAGUGAUAGCCUGAUAGGCUUACAUAUAGUUUGGCAUGUGGUGAUAUAGUGACCUUUGGGUAAAUGGUUGUAACCUUGUUUCUAUAUAUAGUGACCUUUGUGGCUUUGUGUGAA